rnacentral:rRNA from 1 species
GACGAACGCUGGCGGCGUGCUUAACACAUGCAAGUCGAACGAUGAAGAAGAGAAACGCGAACUUCGGUUCAAAUUUCACUUCGGAUUAGUGGCAGACGGGUGAGUAACGCGUGAGCAACCUACCUCUUACAAAGGGAUAGCCUCGGGAAACCGUGAUUAAUACCAUAUGACACAUUCAUAAGGCAUCUUAAGAAUGUUAAAGCUACGGCGGUAAGAGAUGGGCUCGCGUCCCAUUAGCUAGUUGGUGAGGUAACGGCCCACCAAGGCGACGAUGGGUAACCGGCCUGAGAGGGUGAACGGUCACAUUGGAACUGAGACACGGUCCAAACUCCUACGGGAGGCAGCAGUGGGGAAUAUUGCACAAUGGAGGGAACUCUGAUGCAGCGACGCCGCGUGAGCGAUGAAGGAAUUCGUUUCGUAAGGCUCUGUUCUAUGGGAAGAAAAGGACUGUACCAUAGGAGAAAGCCCCGGCUAAAUACGUG